CUUCCAGGCUGGUAGUGAUUGUGAAACCUUAGCUGAAAUUGCCAUUCCCUGUGUCCUUUUUCCAAAUGGAGACUGUGCCCAGAAAUCCCUGGCCAGCAGCACCAGAGCAGGUGCAGACUUCUUGGGAAACGUAGUCUCCCCACAAGCCCUUAUUCAGAAUUCACCUAUUCCCAGAGCAGCAGCAUGCUCUAUUCCAGGAACCUGUCACAAGAAGCCAAAAAUGACCAUGUGCUGUGCAGAACUAGCUUCUGUUGCACCUGCUUAAAGAGGUAGAACGUAUCAGGAAGAAAAAUGGAGAAGAGAACCUGACAAGAUCAUGUUAGGACCAGAGAGCCUGCAUGGCUGCACUGUGGGCGGCCACCGAUCUAGUCUCUGCCUUCACAAUGCAGAUCGAAGUGUGAUAAAGUGUGUAGGUCACGGUCAUGAGUAGCUGAGUGCUGGCUGUUACAUGAAAGUUGAUGUUCUCUACUAGCAGCUACUGUUUGUUUUUCGCUGUUGACACAGAGCUGAGAUGUUGUGUCUUGUUACUAGCUCUACACAGAAAGUGCUACUUCCUUACUUGGUGCGUGCAAAUAUUUACUGGAUCUUUGGACAACCAGGUGGAUCAGUCCAAAGGAGACACUCAGAGAAGUACAUUCAGUAGGGUAACUCCAAGGUCAUGUCUAAGCUGCUACCAGUUUUUCUGUGUUGUCACUGCAUGGAAAUAAUAAGCAUGACAAGGAAAAUGUUAACCCUUGUUGUCUACUACAACUUUUAGAGGAACUGAGAAGCUUGUAAUUCAGUUUCUUGGCCUUAAUUGUUCAAAAGCAAACAUUUUUUUUUUUUCUUCUUCUUUGUAUUAAUUGAGCAAUCAUCUCCAAAAAUGAGACCUUCAGGACCUGUCAAGUUGAUGUGUUGUGAUUAGAAUUACUCAUCACUUUGUUUUUACAUAUGUCACUCUUUAAGUAUUUUGUUUAUAUUGAUAGAUCCAGUGUGAACAUAACUUGUUGUAAAUUUAUUUUAAAUUAUACCUAUUUUGUAAUAAGCCACUUUUUGACACCCAUAUUAGUUUGGCUGAGAAGUGUGAAAUAGUUUAAUUGCUAUUAUAUUAUUCCAGAGUAUAUCAAAAUUGUUUUAAUUAUGCAGGGCUUUGAAUAAUUUGUUAUUUCAUAUUCCUUUGAAGCCUUUCCUCCACAAGUAGUGUGACUUAAAAAAUAUGAAAGUUGUUAUACUAAAGUAUUCUGGAUUACAAUGCAGUUUGAAAAUGCAAUUCCUUGAGAGGAUUCAAAAUUUGAAAAUUCAAGAAAGCAAGUUUUAAAAGCAUUUUAAAAACUAUUUUAAGCACUAAUUUUAAAAACUAUGUCACAAUUUAUUUGUGAAAUCUUUCUCUUAACUGCAAAUUGUUAUCUAACACAGCCAUAACUGUUUGAAUCUGGGGACUUUGACUUCUUCAUGGUGUAUGGAUUAUCAGUCUCACAGACGAGAUCUUACUCCACAUAGCCCCUCUGUAGAAUCAGGUUAAGUGCAGUGUCUGAAAUAGCAGACCACUUUUGCAUAUGCAGUUUAGGAAAUUAAGUUAGGAACAGGCUUGCUGCUGUAGUAAUUUUACUGCUUUAAUACAUAAUACAUAAUAAAUUAAAUUUGUAUUACUUAAUGAUAGGCUUCUGUGAAAUAUUUUAAUAAAACAAAUACAGGAAGGUAACUCGCCUGUUGAAACACUUGUUAUUUUAUGAUAAAGUUAAGCUAUGAAUUACUACAUGUACUGUUUUAGAGGUUAUUUAGUGUAAGAACUGGAAUAGAUUUACUUAAUGCUGAUAUAAGAAAUUAUUCCUUGUCUUACAAUAAUUUCCAGAGAUUUUAAUAAAUAUCUGAUACUUUUGAAAAUGAAAACAUUGUCAUUCUCACUAAGUAGCUGUACCUCCUGUUGCUCCAUUUGCUGUCAUUUCAACAAAACACUUAAGAUCUAUAAAUCCAACAUGAUGAGCAUUUAUGUUUAUGUGUAAAUGUAUGUUUGGAAGGCAUAUGAACAUUUCUUUUGGAGAAACUGCCUGGACUGUAAAAUGUGGCUUCUCAGUAACAGAGGCACCAGAUGCUGUCUGCAUUAUAUCGUACUUGUGUGAUGGUGUUUUUUUUUUUUUUUUUUCUUUUUUUUUUUUUUCUUUCACGUAGAUUUUGUACUUGCACUGGGACUAACAUGAUUUUUUUUCAGAAAAUCAGAGCAAAUGGUGGGUGGGAACACACUGAUGCCACAUCCUUGAACUCCUUUGUGUGCUAAGAACAAUGUCUCUUUUAAACAGAACAUAUAUCUUAAAUAAACCUGGAAGAAUUAAAAAGGGUAAAAAAUAAAAAAAUCGGAGA